GACGAACGCUGGCGGCGUGCUUAACACAUGCAAGUCGAACGGAAAGGCCCUGCUCUUGUGGGGUGCUCGAGUGGCGAACGGGUGAGUAACACGUGAGUAACCUGCCCUUGACUUUGGGAUAACUUCAGGAAACUGGGGCUAAUAUCGGAUAGGAUCUCCUGCUGCAUGGUGGGGGUUGGAAAGUUUCGGCGGUUGGGGAUGGACUGGCGGCUUACCCGCUGGUUGGUGGGGUAGGGGAUGACCAAGGGUUCGACGGGUAGCCGGCCUGAGAGGGUGACCGGCCACAUUGGGACUGAGAUACGGCGCAGACUCCUACGGGAGGCAGCAGUGGGGAAUAUUGCACAAUGGGCGGAAGCCAGAUGCAGAAACGCCGCGUGCGGGAUGACGGGCUUCGGGUUAUAAACCGCUUUCUCCUGUGACGAAGCGUGAGUGACGGUAAUGGGUAAGGAAGCACCGGCUAACUACGUG
rnacentral:rRNA from 1 species